UCAAGCGACUAAGUGCAUGUGGUGGAUGCCUUGGCGAUCACAGGCGAUGAAGGACGUGUAAGCCUGCGAAAAGCGUGGGGGAGCUGGCAAUAGAGCUUUGAUCCCACGAUGUCCGAAUGGGGAAACCCACCCCGCAAGGGGUAUCCCAGACUGAAUACAUAGGUCUGAGGAGGCGAACCGAGCGAACUGAAACAUCUAAGUAGCUCGAGGAACAGAAAUCAACCGAGAUUCCGCAAGUAGUGGCGAGCGAACGCGGAGCAGCCUGCACGACUAAACCAUCAGCUUAGCAAAACGGUCUGGAAAGUCCGACGAUACAGGGUGAUAGUCCCGUAUGCGAAAAGCCGGUGGCGGGUCUGAGCGUGCGACAAGUAGGGCGGGACACGAGAAAUCCUGUCUGAAGAUGGGGGGACCAUCCUCCAAGGCUAAAUACUCGUGAUCGACCGAUAGUGAACCAGUACCGUGAGGGAAAGGCGAAAAGAACCCCGGGAGGGGAGUGAAAUAGAUCCUGAAACCGCAUGCAUACAAACAGUGGGAGCCUCGUAAGGGGUGACUGCGUACCUUUUGUAUAAUGGGUCAGCGACUUACGUUCAGUAGCGAGCUUAACCGAGUAGGGGAGGCGUAGCGAAAGCGAGUCUGAUAAGGGCGUCAGAGUUGCUGGGCGUAGACCCGAAACCGGAUGAUCUAUCCAUGGCCAGGAUGAAGGUGCCGUAACAGGUACUGGAGGUCCGAACCCACUAACUUUGAAAAGUUAGGGGAUGAGCUGUGGAUAGGGGUGAAAGGCUAAACAAAUCCGGAAAUAGCUGGUUCUCCCCGAAAACUAUUUAGGUAGUGCGUCGUACGGACACUUGCGGGGGUAGAGCACUGUAAUCGUUGGGGGGGUCAUUGCGAUCUACCCCGCGAUAGCAAACUCCGAAUACCGCAAAGUGAUAUACGGCAGACAGACAUCGGGUGCUAACGUCCGGUGUCAAGAGGGAAACAACCCAGACCGCCAGCUAAGGUCCCAAAUGCAUGGCUAAGUGGCAAACGAGGUGGGAAGGCACAGACAGCUAGGAGGUUGGCUUAGAAGCAGCCAUCCUUUAAAGAAAGCGUAAUAGCUCACUAGUCGAGUCGUCCUGCGCGGAAGAUGUAACGGGGCUCAAGCCAUGAACCGAAGCUGCGGAUGUGUCUUUGACACGUGGUAGGGGAGCGUUCCGUAAGCCUGCGAAGGUGUCUCGUAAGGGAUGCUGGAGGUAUCGGAAGUGCGAAUGCUGACAUGAGUAGCGAUAAAGGGUGUGAAAAGCACCCUCGCCGUAAGCCCAAGGUUUCCUGCGCAACGUUCAUCGGCGCAGGGUGAGUCGGCCCCUAAGGCGAGGCAGAAAUGCGUAGUCGAUGGGAAACAGGUCAAUAUUCCUGUACCGCUCUAUGAUGCGAUGGGGGGACGGAGAAGGUUAGCUCGGCCAUCUGUUGGAAUAGGUGGUUUAAGCGUGUAGUCGUGCCGCGUAGGCAAAUCCGCGUGGCUUAGAUGAGGCGUGAUGACGAGGAUCCUCGGAUCCGAAGUGAGUGAUACCCAGCUUCCAGGAAAAGCCUCUAAGCUUCAGUCAUAGAGUGACCGUACCGCAAACCGACACAGGUGGGCUGGUAGAGAAUACCAAGGCGCUUGAGAGAACUCAGGAGAAGGAACUCGGCAAAUUGAUACCGUAACUUCGGGAGAAGGUAUGCCCCUCGUACGUGAAAGCCCUCGCGGCUGGAGCGGAAAGGGGUCGCAGAGAAUCGGUGGCUGCGACUGUUUAUUAAAAACACAGCACUCUGCAAACACGAAAGUGGACGUAUAGGGUGUGACGCCUGCCCGGUGCCGGAAGGUUAAGUGAUGGGGUGCAAGCUCUUGAUCGAAGCCCCGGUAAACGGCGGCCGUAACUAUAACGGUCCUAAGGUAGCGAAAUUCCUUGUCGGGUAAGUUCCGACCUGCACGAAUGGCGUAACGAUGGCCACACUGUCUCCUCCUGAGACUCAGCGAAGUUGAAAUG
rnacentral:rRNA from 1 species